rnacentral:snRNA from 1 species
AUACUUACCUGGCAGGGGAGAUACCAUGAUCACGAAGGUGGUUCUCCCAGGGCGAGGCUCAUCCAUUGCACUCCAGCUGUGCUGACCCCUGCGAUUUCCCCAAAUGCGGGAAACUCGACUGCAUAAUUUCUGGUAGUGGGGGACUGCGUUCGCGCUUUCCCCUG